GAUGAACGCUGGCGGCGUGCUUAACACAUGCAAGUCGAACGGAAAGGCUCCUGCUUGCAGGGGUACUCGAGUGGCGAACGGGUGAGUAACACGUGGGUGAUCUGCCCUGCACUUCGGGAUAAGCCUGGGAAACUGGGUCUAAUACCGGAUAGGACGAUGGUUUGGAUGCCAUUGUGGAAAGUUUUUUCGGUGUGGGAUGAGCUCGCGGCCUAUCAGCUUGUUGGUGGGGUAAUGGCCUACCAAGGCGUCGACGGGUAGCCGGCCUGAGAGGGUGUACGGCCACAUUGGGACUGAGAUACGGCCCAGACUCCUACGGGAGGCAGCAGUGGGGAAUAUUGCACAAUGGGCGCAAGCCUGAUGCAGCGACGCCGCGUGGGGGAUGACGGCCUUCGGGUUGUAAACUCCUGUCGCUAGGGACGAAGCGCAAGUGACGGUACCUGGAGAAGAAGCACCGGCUAACUACGUG
rnacentral:rRNA from 1 species